rnacentral:rRNA from 1 species
GAUGAACGCUGGCGGCGUGCCUAAUACAUGCAAGUCGAGCGAACAGACGAGGAGCUUGCUCCUCUGACGUUAGCGGCGGACGGGUGAGUAACACGUGGAUAACCUACCUAUAAGACUGGGAUAACUUCGGGAAACCGGAGCUAAUACCGGAUAAUAUAUUGAACCGCAUGGUUCAAUAGUGAAAGACGGUUUUGCUGUCACUUAUAGAUGGAUCCGCGCCGCAUUAGCUAGUUGGUAAGGUAACGGCUUACCAAGGCGACGAUGCGUAGCCGACCUGAGAGGGUGAUCGGCCACACUGGAACUGAGACACGGUCCAGACUCCUACGGGAGGCAGCAGUAGGGAAUCUUCCGCAAUGGGCGAAAGCCUGACGGAGCAACGCUGCGUGAGUGAUGAAGGUCUUCGGAUCGUAAAACUCUGUUAUUAGGGAAGAACAAAUGUGUAAGUAACUAUGCACGUCUUGACGGUACCUAAGCAGAAAGCCACGGCUAACUACGU